rnacentral:snRNA from 1 species
UUAAAGUUUCACACAAAUA